rnacentral:rRNA from 1 species
CUACGGGUUGCUCCAGCAGGGAAUCUUGCGCAAUGGGCGAAAGCCUGACGCAGCAACGCCGCGUGGGGGAUGAAGGCCUUCGGGUUGUAAACCCCUUUCAGGAGGGAAGAAAUUGACGGUACCUCCAGAAGAAGCACCGGCCAACUACGUGCCAGCAGCCGCGGUAAUACGUAGGGUGCGAGCGUUAUCCGGAAUCAUUGGGCGUAAAGAGCUCGUAGGCGGUUCAGCAAGUCGGCUGUGAAAGUCCGAGGCUCAACCUCGGAAUUGCAGUCGAUACUGCUGUGACUCGAGUCCGGUAGAGGAGAAUGGAAUUCCCGGUGUAGCGGUGAAAUGCGCAGAUAUCGGGAGGAACACCAGUAGCGAAGGCGGUUCUCUGGGCCGGCACUGACGCUGAGGAGCGAAAGCGUGGGGAGCAAACAGGAUUAGAUACCCCCGUAGUC